rnacentral:lncRNA from 1 species
UACCACCUUGCAAGGCAUCAUAAUAUUAGAACAUCUCCGAUGCAACUAUGAAUUAUUCUAAUUUAUUUUCCACAUUAGACCAAUUGAAAGUUAAAAAUAAAAACAUUCCCUAAUGCUCUUGUGUAUUUAGUCUGUAAGUUUAAUAUGUCAAAAAUAAAAAUACAUACUGUCCACCACGCUUUUUAUUUUCAGAGAGUUUGUUAAAUAAUGUGACUCAACCAUUAAUUCUUUUUUUUUCCUAUUUAUUCAUUUUUUUCUCAUUUUUUUUAUCAUCAGACAGUUCUAAUAUAAUGGAAGCAUUAGAGAGCCAUUUUUAAAAUCUGACAUCUAUAAAUACACAUUCUACCGUAUCAUCAUCCACAACUUCUAUUUAUUAAAAUACAUCAACUACAAUUCAUGAUUGCAUUGGAGUUUGCAUUGGAGUUGUUGUUAGCAUCUUGAGCUUUAUUCUGCUUAAAUUUCUAUUUAGUAAUUGUUUGCAAUAAAUGUGGACUAGUGUCACGACCCAUUUCCGUGGGCCGGACCGGCACUAGGGCCCAGGUAAGCUUAAGGCCCCCGAGGCCCGUAGUAAGCCUAAAUCUCAAUUAACACAUAGUAUCUAACCAGGGCCUAUUCACAAUAAAUUAUAAUCACAUUAUGGGCUUACUGGUUCACCUGCAGCUAAUUACAUAAUAUUUAAUUUAUAGUGUAGUGCUAACAAUAAAUCCAAUAGUAAUACACAACCCUAUAACUGCGGAGUUCAAUAAUAAUCUGAUAAUAGAGUAACUUAUACAUCCAAAAUUAGACAACAGAAAUAUAAAGUUUACAUUUAUAACUCUGCGGAGAAGAUUGCAGAGCUUCAGUCGAAUCAGCUGCUUCCUAGUACCUGGGAGGUUUGGAGAGAAGGGGGUGAGUUUU